AUGGACGGCCAUAUCAUCAAGGUGAUCAAAAACGCUGAUUCAAUUGUAAGGUUUGUUUGCAGCAGCCCUGGCAGCCUAAUGUGCGUCGUCGGCUAUUCGUCGGAGAAAGUGAAUGUGCUCAACCUUGCUAUCGGAGAGGCUACUGUGAUUCACCUCAAAUUUAGCUUUAUGGGCUUCGGCCGCGCCGCCCCGUCGGGCGCCUACAAGAUGGUCAGCAUAAAUCCCAGCAGCUGUGAGAUCCUCACGGUAGGGGAUGGCGUGGGCUGGAGGCAAAUGCAGCCGCUGCCCAACAAUAUGUCGUAUAAUAGUUCCCCUGUCGUGGUCAAGGGUGUCAUGUACUUGAUGUUAGCUUCGCAGCUGAACGGGGACAACGUGAUCUGCUUCGAUCUGGAGAGCAAGGAGUGGAAGGGGGGAAUCAAAGGCCCACCGAAUAUCCAACUUCACCGGUUUGACAUUACCUUGGAGGAACUCAACGGGGCCCUGUGUAUGCUCCAGCCGGAGGUAGGAAACGUUUACCAUGGAACCAUGAGCAUAUGGCUCCUAAUCGAUUCCCGCAAGGGGGUCUGGAUCAAGGUUUACUCAAUCCCUGUGGACCCGUCUGCGUAUAGUCCCAUCAUGCCUUUGAGAAUAUUACAUGAUAACGGUAAACUACUCUUCUAUGUCACGCGUAAAUUCGAUGAAUUCGCGGUGCUGCAAAUCUAUGACCCUCGUCAUCGGACAUUCACGGACGCGCCCAAGAUGCUCGCGGGUGACAACGGUGGCAGUAUCAACCUUUGCAGCGUGCACUUGGAUAGUUUUCUUUGA
rnacentral:rRNA from 1 species